rnacentral:rRNA from 1 species
GUGCCAGCCGCGGCGGUAAUACGUAGGGCGCAAGCGUUGUCCGGAAUUAUUGGGCGUAAAGAGCCCGUAGGCGGCUUGUCACGUCGGGUGUGAAAGCCCGGGGCUUAACCCCGGGUCUGCAUUCGAUACGGGCUAGCUAGAGUGUGGUAGGGGAGAUCGGAAUUCCUGGUGUAGCGGUGAAAUGCGCAGAUAUCAGGAGGAACACCGGUGGCGAAGGCGGAUCUCUGGGCCAUUACUGACGCUGAGGAGCGAAAGCGUGGGAGCGAAACAGGAUUAGAUACCCUGGUAGUCCACGCCGUAAAACGGUGGGAACUAGGUGUUGGCGACAUUCCACGUCGUCGGUGCCGCAGCUAACGCAUUAAGUCCCCGCUGGGAGUACGCCGC